rnacentral:tRNA from 1 species
GGUGGCUUAGUGGUAGAGUGCUUGCCUAGCAUGCAUGACGCCCUGGGUUCAAUUCCUUGAUACCA